CAUGAAGAGCUGGUGCCCUUAGAGGGAUUAUCACACUCUAGGAAAGCCCACUCAGGUGUAUGUUGGUGAGGCUGGUUCAUGAGAGCCACUUCUUGCCACCUAUUUCCAACUCCAUGUAAGUGACUUUGUGUUGGUGGAAAUUCGCCCUGAUAGGAAUAAUUAUAGAAACUGGCAUGUUAGUUCCUUUCCACAACCUGGUUGUUGCACAUCUGUUAACAUACUACUGAAGUGAAUAGUAGUAGCCAGGAGAAAAGGUUUUCUCACACUGUGGCUCUGACUCUACAUUUGUACCUAGUUGGAGAAAGCCUGAAGGGCUUUACAGACCUUACAUUCUUUUUGUUUAUUUAUUUAUGUUUUAGAUGAGCCUCUAAAAGUGAGCCUCUUGCUUCAGCCACCUGAAUAGCUAGAACUCUAGGCGUGCACCACUGUACGUGGCAACAGACACUACACCCUUCUCCUUGCCUGUGUCUUUGAGUGUGCUUAUGAACUUAGUCCAAUAUCUGUAUAGUUAUUGUUCUUCCUAUUUCCAUGGUUCUAUCCUCAGUCUCUGACUACUUGCUCUCUAAAGGUGGAACGAAUCAAGAAGCUCUGCGACAGCCAAAGACUCUGAGUUAGAAACUAUCAAUAGGCCAAUGUAGAGAAAGGUUGAGAAGGAGUGAUAAGCUGGGAUGGGAUAUUCAGUCUCGGUAAGGUAAAAGGGCUGGUGUUUUUAGAAGAAAGGAUUUCCCUUCCUUGGCUUCUCUAGUGAAAACUGGUUGGAGUGAAAAAGUUAAGGGGAAGAUGCCUGUGGCUAGUGCCUUAGACGAUUCCCACCCCUAUAUCUCCGGUCACUUUGGUGCGGGGCUGCAGGCCUUUCCCCGUGCCGCAGCAGAAGGCGCUCUUGCGCGAUCGCCAUUCUGGCUGCGGGAGCUCAGCGACGCUCUAGUCUCUUUUCUCUGUGGCAUCCCGGCGGCUUCUUUGGCCUCUGCAGCAUUGCGGGUUCUCCGGCAGGGGAGAAAACGCCAACUUGGCACGCAGCCUCCGGGACCGAGGCAUGGCACGGCUCCCGAAGCUCGCAGUCUUUGAUCUGGAUUACACGCUGUGGCCUUUUUGGGUCGACACGCACGUAGACCCCCCAUUCCACAAGAGCAGUGAUGGAACUGUCCGGGAUAGUCGGGGCCAGAACAUUCGGUUGUACCCGGAGGUGUCUAAGGUCCUAGAACGGUUACAGGACCUUGGGGUGCCCGUCGCAGCGGCUUCCCGGACAGGUGAGAUAGAAGGGGCGAACCAACUACUGGAGCUCUUUGACCUUGUUAGAUAUUUUGCUCAUCGGGAAAUUUAUCCAGGCAGCAAAGUCACACACUUUGAGAGGUUGCAGCAGAAGACUGGGGUUUCUUUCGCCCAGAUGAUCUUCUUCGAUGAUGAGAAGCGAAAUAUUGUAGAUGUUGGUAAACUGGGUGUUCUCUGCAUUCACAUUCAGAAUGGAAUGAGUCUUCAAACCCUAGCCCAAGGGUUAGAAACAUUCACUAACUCUCAAGCUGGGCACUGAGGUCCAGCCCUGAGGAUGAGCCUCAUUUGAAGCCUAAAAUGGAAAGGAAACGGAGAAGGCAUUUUUUUCAGGGAAGAAGGAAAAGGGGCCAACCCCUGAAGAAGCAAUACAGAAACUGAAGGAGACUGAGAAGAUACUGAUCAAAAAACAGGAGUUUCUGGAACAGAAGAUUCAGCAGGAGCUACAAACAGCCAAGAAGCAUGGGACCAAGAACAAAAGAGCUGCCCUGCAGGCUUUGCGGAGAAAGAAAAGAUUGGAACAGCAGUUGGCACAAACCGAUGGAACAUUAUCCACCCUGGAGUUUCAGCGUGAAGCGAUUGAGAAUGCCACCACCAAUGCAGAAGUGCUUCGUACUAUGGAGGUUGCUGCUCAAGGCAUGAAAAAAGCCUACCAGGACAUGUAGGGACAUUGACAAGGUGGAUGAAUUGAUGGCUGAUAUCACAGAACAACAGGAACUGGCCCAGCAGAUCUCAGAUGCCAUUUCUCGGCCUGUGGGCUUUGGAGAUGAUGUGGAUGAGGAUGAAUUAUUGGAAGAGCUAGAGGAACUAGAGCAGGAGAAAUUGGCCCAGGGGUUGUUAAAUGUGGGCAAUGAGGAAGAAGAACCCCCAGUCAAAUUGCCUAGUGUACCUUCUACACAUCUGCCUGCAGGGCCAGCUCCCAAAGAGGAUGAAGAUGAAGAAUUAAAACAGUUGGCUGAGUGGGUAUCCUGAGUCUGGGUUUGUCCUCCUCCUGCUGCCUUCAUUGGUCCCUUUUCCUUAAGUGCCAAAUGCCAAGCUAAAGAAGCACAGCUUUUUUGGGAGGUCUUGCUGAUGUGGUAGUAUGCCUGUAUGAGAAAGGGACCUGUUGCCCUUCCAUCCCUGGCUGAACGCUGAAGGAUCUUGCUGCAGGGACCCCUGGGCUCCAUUCUCUUUGAUAGCAGUUACAGUGCCCUUGAUAUCAAUAAAAUUGGGUAGAUGGA